UAACACGGGGAAACUUGUGCUAAUACCGAAUAAGCCCUUACGGGGAAAGUUUUAACGCCGAAAGAUGAGCCUGCACUUGAUUAGCUAGUUGGUAAGGUAAAGGCUUACCAAGGCAACGAUCAAUAGCUGUUCUUAGAGGAAGACCAGCCACAUUGGGACUGAGACACGGCCCAGACUCCUACGGGAGGCAGCAGUGGGGAAUCUUGCACAAUGGGGGAAACCCUGAUGCAGCGAUGCCGCGUGAGUGAAGAAGGCCUUUGGGUUGUAAAACUCUUUCGUC
rnacentral:rRNA from 1 species